GAGACACGGCCCAGACUCCUACGGGAGGCAGCAGUAGGGAAUCUUCCGCAAUGGACGAAAGUCUGACGGAGCAACGCCGCGUGAGUGAUGAAGGUCUUCGGAUCGUAAAACUCUGUUGUUAGGGAAGAACAAGUAUCGUUCGAAUAGGGCGGUACCUUGACGGUACCUAACCAGAAAGCCACGGCUAACUACGUGCCAGCAGCCGCGGUAAUACGUAGGUGGCAAGCGUUGUCCGGAAUUAUUGGGCGUAAAGCGCGCGCAGGCGGUUUCUUAAGUCUGAUGUGAAAGCCCACGGCUCAACCGUGGAGGGUCAUUGGAAACUGGGAGACUUGAGUGCAGAAGAGGAGAGUGGAAUUCCACGUGUAGCGGUGAAAUGCGUAGAGAUGUGGAGGAACACCAGUGGCGAAGGCGACUCUCUGGUCUGUAACUGACGCUGAGGCGCGAAAGCGUGGGGAGCGAACAGGAUUAGAUACCCUGGUAGUCCACGCCGUAAACGA
rnacentral:rRNA from 1 species